UGAUGAUCUUAGCUCAAGAAAUAAGAAGUGGAAGAGUUGUAAAAAGUUUGAAAAUUUUAGAUGGAAAAUUAAGAGAGAAAAUGAGACACAACAGUUUAGAACUCUUCAAAUUAGAAACAGAGCAUGAAGAAGAGUCGUUGUCCCCAUCUGAACAGAAACAAAAGUAAAUUAAUGGACUGUUAUCAUUAAAUAAUGGCCAUUACUAUUACAUAAAGGCCG
rnacentral:misc_RNA from 1 species